GGGCUCUUUAAAUGGAGUCGAGCGGACAGAUGGGAGCUGUGCUCCCUGUAUAGUUAGCGGCGGACGGGUGAGUAACACGUGGGUAACCUGCCUGUAAGACUGGGAUAACUCCGGGAAACCGGGGCUAAUACCGGAUGCUUGUUUGAACCGCAUGGUUCAGACAUAAAAGGUGGCUUCGGCUACCACUUACAGAUGGACCCGCGGCGCAUUAGCUAGUUGGUGAGGUAACGGCUCACCAAGGCGACGAUGCGUAGCCGACCUGAGAGGGUGAUCGGCCACACUGGGACUGAGACACGGCCCAGACUCCUACGGGAGGCAGCAGUAGGGAAUCUUCCGCAAUGGACGAAAGUCUGACGGAGCAACGCCGCGUGAGUGAUGAAGGUUUUCGGAUCGUAAAGCUCUGUUGUUAGGGAAGAACAAGUGCCGUUCGAAUAGGGCGGCACCUUGACGGUACCUAACCAGAAAGCCACGGCUAACUACGUGCCAGCAGCCGCGGUAAUACGUAGGUGGCAAGCGUUGUCCGGAAUUAUUGGGCGUAAAGGGCUCGCAGGCGGUUUCUUAAGUCUGAUGUGAAAGCCCCCGGCUCAACCGGGGAGGGUCAUUGGAAACUGGGGAACUUGAGUGCAGAAGAGGAGAGUGGAAUUCCACGUGUAGCGGUGAAAUGCGUAGAGAUGUGGAGGAACACCAGUGGCGAAGGCGACUCUCUGGUCUGUAACUGACGCUGAGGAGCGAAAGCGUGGGGAGCGAACAGGAUUAGAUACCCUGGUAGUCCACGCCGUAAACGAUGAGUGCUAAGUGUUAGGGGGUUUCCGCCCCUUAGUGCUGCAGCUAACGCAUUAAGCACUCCGCCUGGGGAGUACGGUCGCAAGACUGAAACUCAAAGGAAUUGACGGGGGGCCCGCACAAGCCGUGGGAGCAUGUGGGUUUAAUUCGGAAGCAACGCUUAAAAACUUUACCAGGUCUUGGACUUCCUCUGAACAAUCCUAAAAAAAAGGACGUCCCCCUUCCGGGGGCAGAAGUGACAGGGUGGGUGCAGGGGUUGUGCCUACCAGCCCCUUGUCCGUGAAAAAGUUUGGGUUAAAUUCCCUCCAACCUAGAACCAACCCCUUUGAUACUUAGUUGGCCAACCUUUUCU
rnacentral:rRNA from 1 species